AUUAUACUUCUUGUUUAACCUGUCUAUAUUUUCCACUAAUAGUGCUACAAUUAUAACUCCUUUUCCAUCCCCACAUGACUUGCAAGUAACCCGUUUUGCCGUGGAACUGCCUAGUUAGUUGCAAACUGCGGGAAGUGCCAUCAGGAGGGAAGUCAUCAAGAAGUACUAGGCGUUAGAGUUGUGCUUCCUGAGACACCUCCCUGUCUUCCGCCUUACUGCAAAAUGGUUAUUGUACAGGAAGGAAGACAAUACAAGAAAAGGAGAGAAAACUGAUCAAGGUAAGUGAUCUCACAGUUACCUGUUCCAUGUCCCCAUCAACCAUCAACCUUGAUUAUCUAGUUGGCUUGAAUGUAAUUUAGGUCAGAAGUCAGCAAACCACACAACCCAAACCAUAGUCAGCAAAUCCACAACCCAAACCUGGCCCACUGACUGCUUUUUGUAAAUAC
rnacentral:lncRNA from 13 species